rnacentral:rRNA from 1 species
GACGAACGCUGGCGGCGUGGAUUAGGCAUGCAAGUCGAACGGUAUCAUCCUUUCGGGGGUGAGAGAGUGGCGAACUGGUGAGUAACACGUAGGUUAUCUACCCUCAAGACGGGGACAACCCAGGGAAACUUGGGCUAAUACCGGAUGUGAGCAACUUUUAGUUGUUUGAAAGGUGGCGUAAGCUGUCGCUUGGGGAUGAGCCUGCGUCCUAUUAGUUAGUUGGUGAGGUAACGGCUCACCUAGGCAAUGAUAGGUAGGCGGCCUUAACGGGUGGUCGCCCACACUGGGAUUGAGAUACGGCCCAGACUCCUACGGGAGGCAGCAGUCGAGAACAGUCUACAAUGGUCGGAAGACUGAUAGUGCGACGCCGCGUGAACGAUGAAUCCCUUCGGGGUGUAAAGUUCUUUUAUAUGUGAGCAGUGCUUCUUAUAUUAACAGUAUGGGGAGAGAGAUAUUAGCAUAUGAAUAAGCAACGGCUAACUCCGUGCCAGCAGCCGCGGUAAAA